GGCCUUUUUAAGUCCGCCGUCAAAUCCCAGGGCUUAACCCUGGACAGGCGGUGGAAACUACCAAGCUGGAGUACGGUAGGGGCAGAGGGAAUUUCCGGUGGAGCGGUGAAAUGCGUAGAGAUCGGAAAGAACUUUUGUUUUACGCAAUAUUAAAUAUUUUGAAAUAGUCC
rnacentral:ncRNA from 1 species